UACGUAGGGGGCAAGCGUUGUCCGGAUUUAUUGGGCGUAAAGAGCUCGUAGGUGGUUUGGUAAGUCGGAUGUGAAAUCUCCAGGCUCAACCUGGAGGGGUCAUUCGAUACUGCCAUGACUAGAGGUCGGUAGGGGAGUGUGGAAUUCCUGGUGGAGCGGUGAAAUGCGCAGAUAUCAGGAAGAACACCGACGGCGAAGGCAGCUCGCUGGGACGGUACUGACGCUGAGGCGCGAAAGCGUGGGGAGCGAACAGG
rnacentral:rRNA from 1 species